AACAACAAAAAAUGCAAAAAGAAAAGGUGAAAGCUCCGAUUUACCUUCAGCCUUCUCGGAUCGCCGAAUCGCCUUUUGUUUCGCGAGAGCUCGUUUUUUUUUCGUGAUGGAGAAAGAAAAGGCAAAAUGAUUCUUUGUUUUCUCUCACGUGCAAGACACGCCCCCUCCGCCCCUAUCACCGGUUGCCACGCGUCUAAGGAUUAAGUCCUUAAACGCCUUAAUUAGGGACUCUUUCUUAGCUAAAGUAAACAUUAUAUUAGUAUAAUACUCAAAUUUACCUAGGUUGGACCGCUAAGUUUCUCUCAUGUUCCCGCGUUGGACGUGCUCUUACAGGUUUUUGUUUCGUUGGCCUGUUACUUUCUUUUGUCAAGCCCAUCCCAUGCCGUAUCAACUUGGUCAUGAUGAAACGCCGCAUUUUCUUUAAGAGUUAGCAUGAGGUAGUCUUCGCAUCUCCAGAGCCAAACGGCGACUUCGGUUGUGCGGCGGAUCUUUCAUAUUCUUCCUUACGAUAACCGAUCUAUCAUCUUUAAACGCUUCAUUAAUCGAUCACCCACGACCUAGAUUCAAUGCGACUUUUUUGUUAUGCAAGGCGUGGAGUUGGACUAUAAAAAAGUCAUCACUUCGAAAACCCAUAAUUCGUUCUUAUCAAGCCGACUGCUCGGUCUCGGCUCCUCUCUCCUCAUGGACGGAACCUUCCUCAUGCUUCACUCCAAGCUGUUUGAUCAAGGAAGCUUUAUUGUGUUUGGCUGGAGACGUCGGAGAAAAAGGCCAUCGGAAGAAUAUUCUCAGUAUGGAAGUUUUCGCCGGAGAAGGAGAAACACUGGAAUGCAGCAGACUCGAUCAGCCAUAUCUCAAUUGUUUACCGGUUAGGACCCAUCUUUGGGUUGCUUUGUUUCCAUCUCUGAAGGACUUAUCAGUCCAUGGCUGUCAAGAAACUCCUCACGUUCCUGAACUGGAUUUAACCCAUACCCAAAGCCAAUGAAAUGGAGUCUGGAAUCAUGUGGAGCCAUCGGAGAAACAUAGUUCUUUUGUUUGUGUCUUUAGAAUCUUGGAGAGAUUGAGCUUAGGACAUGUAGAAGUAUAUUAUUGAUAAAGAAAAACAACCCAAUGAACUUUUUUCCUGAGUGUUAAGGUAAGCUUUUCAUUGCUGAUACAUGAAUGAAUGAUUUGCUUUUAACCAUGACUAUGUUUUGAAUAUAUAUAUUUUUUUUGUUUUAAUCCAUAUAAUCAGAUAAUAAAGCUGUGAAAAAUGUUUCAAGCGGUUAUGGUUUUGAAUAUGACUCAGAUAUGUACAUGUAUAUAAUAGUUGUCACUUUUAAACUUCGAGUUGAUUGGAUUUGAUGAAUCAUAGCGACUCAUUUCUGUUUGAUUUCAGGGAACUUCUCUGGAUGGGCAUGUUUUAAUGUUAAAUUUUCUGAACAAAAAUGGGGGGAGACGGUUGGGAAAGGUUCAGACAAUUAUCAACAAAAGUACGUGUGAAAAAUGUAGCUGUUGAGGGAACGGAGAAAGAACUAAGACAGUCAGUCAAUUUGGCAGAGUUGAAUAUAGACUAGCUAAUGGUCAUGUAGAGCAUUCUCCUGAAUUCUUCUAUGAUGGUUCUAUGUUGAAGAUUAGUAUUCAGGCGUUUAAUGAUGAAGAUACUCAAGGACACCGAACUAUUGGUUUGUUUCUUCACCUUCGUGAAGCAGAGAUAACAGACUCAAUAAGGACAAAACAUGAUGAUCCAUUUCAAAGAGGGUCUCAGUCUUCCAAAGAGGGCAGUAUACAGGUUACGGUUUUUAAAUAUUAUAUAUCAAUCUCAGGUAAACUGGCUCGAAAAAAAAACAAGUCUAAUUUGAUAUCUGGUUUGGUGUUAGUUUCAUGUUUCUCGAUCAAUAAAAUUCAAAGAAUUUAAAAUAUAUUUCAGUGCAUUUGAGAGAGUUUAAGUUUUAGUAAACAUUAUAUAAACAAAGAAAAAAUCUUAACAUAUCUCCACAUUCAAAAUAAGAUCAAUUUGUAAUCACAUUAAUCUCCUUCAACCACCGAUGAAAAUGUUCAGAAGCAAACGAGGAUGACGAUGAAAACGUGUUACUACUAAACAAAAGCUAACUGGAUUUCACUCUCUGUGUCCACUUAGCUUAAAAGUUUUACAAGGAGGAGACACUUGGCAAGCUCCCAUCUUCUCCAAUCAGAAACCACAAGUUUGAACUUGAAUUCUUAAGCGUCAAAGGGUCAAACAGAGAAAAAUCAAAACCAACUUUGGUGAAAAUGAUGAACGAAAGAUAGUUUUGAACAUACAACAAGCCUGAACCUGAUUUGUAAGGUAGUAAAGGAUCAGACAGAUCAAAACCUUCACUCUUGGGAAGAAAAAGAUCGACACUUUUAUUGUUGAAACAGACCGAAUUCUUACAAUAAAGAAGAUGAGACUAAGAGAGGGUUCUCUCUGAGUGGCUGGAACGAGAGAACCUA